rnacentral:rRNA from 1 species
GUCCACGCUGUAAACGAUGCGCACUAGGUAUGGGAAGUCUGACGCUUUUCGUGCCGAAGCAAAAGCGUUAAGUGCGCCGCCUGGGUAGUACGGCCGCAAGGCUAAAACUCAAAGGAAUUGACGGGGGCUCACACAAGCGGUGGAGCAUGUGGAUUAAUUCGAAGCAACGCGAAGCACCUUACCUGGGUUUGACAUGCACGGAUGCCCUUCCCGAAAUGGGAGUAAGCUGCCUUCGGGUGAAACGUGCACAGGUGCUGCAUGGCUGUCGU